rnacentral:rRNA from 1 species
AUUGAACGCUGGCGGCAUGCCUAACACAUGCAAGUCGAACGAGGUUGGCUUCGGCCAGCCUAGGGGCGGACGGGUGAGUAAUGCGUGGGAAUCUGCCUCGUAGUGGGGGAUAACGUAGGGAAACUUACGCUAAUACCGCAUACGCUCUACGGAGGAAAGGGGGGGAUCUUUGGACCUCUCGCUAUGAGAUGAGCCCACGUCUGAUUAGCUAGUUGGUGGGGUAAAGGCCUACCAAGGCGACGAUCAGCAGCCGGCCUGAGAGGGUGUACGGCCACACUGGGACUGAGACACGGCCCAGACUCCUACGGGAGGCAGCAGUGGGGAAUAUUGGACAAUGGGCGAAAGCCUGAUCCAGCAAUGCCGCGUGUGUGAGGAAGGCCUGCGGGUUGUAAAGCACUUUAAGUGGGGAAGAAUGGGAUUGCGCUAAUACCGUGAUCCUUUGACGUUACCCACAGAAUAAGCACCGGCUAACUCCGUGCCAGCAGCCGCGGUAAUACGGAGGGUGCGAGCGUUAAUCGGAAUUACUGGGCGUAAAGCGCAUGUAGGCGGUUUGAUAAGUCGGAUGUGAAAUCCCUGGGCUUAACCUAGGAAUGGCAUUCGAUACUGUCAGGCUAGAGUAGGAUAGAGGAGAGGGGAAUUCCGCGUGUAGCAGUGAAAUGCGUAGAUAUGCGGAGGA